CCGGAUCGGGAAGUGUCAAGCGGGCGCUCCCCCAUCUCCGCCGCUAUUACCACUGAACCCGGACCCCCUACCCAGGUCCAGGGCCAGCCGCCAUGACGAACGCCGCUGUGAUUGGAACCAGGCUGCAUGCUGCUGUGGCAAUUGCUUGUGUUGUAAUGGCCUUUUACGUCCUGUUUAUAAAAUGAAUUCCAAAGCACCCAAGUCAUCAACUGCCAACCAAGGGGACGGGGAUGAAGAACCUGUUGGAGACCUGAACCCAGUGUAGGAGAGUUCAGCUGAAAUCAUCGGUCCCCAGGAUGACACCACAGCAUCUGCCCCUGCUAUAUGUGGGGAAAACUCAUGGUCACGAACAUUAUUUAUGCUUCAGGGGACUACAGAAAGCCAGCUUCCUUUGAUCUAUGUGUAAAUCAGUCCUUGGCAGAGUGCAUAUAAUGUCCGGAUAAAUUACACCCCUCGGUGAUAAGAUUACAUACCUCCUUCAUAAAAACCUGUCAUCCUGUUUUGUUCUUCAGCUCCUCAUCAGGAUCUUUUCAAACUGAGGCUCAUUAGGGAAGGAACUAGGCUGUGUUCAGACUUCUUUUGAAGAGAGAGAAUUUUCAAGACUUCUUUUCACUCUUUGAUUUGGAUCUGGCAAAUUGGGGAGGGGAUGCUGGGUGGGAAACAGUUAUGAAAUGCCAAGAAAUUCUUUGGCUUUAGAAAUUUAUCUUUCAUGUACCCAUCCGGGAACAUAAAAGAGAGGCAUAGUGCUCAUUGCAAAAAGAGAACAGAUGAAGUAGCUGUGUUAUGUGCUGGUAUCUUGAGAGUUUUGCCAAGAAAAUCUGGGCCUACAUAAAAUUUGAGAAUUAUCUGUGUGAUGAGACCAGAAAGCAGUGGCUUAGACAAGAAAAAAUCUUUCUGUUCACCAGUAUCCUCAAAUGGAGACUUCACUUGAUCAGAUGGUAUAUGAAAAAUGAAUCAACUAUUGCUAUUUCGUAAAACCUUUUUAUAUUUUCUAAAUUUACUUAGUGCUAAAUACUGUUACUCAGUUUUAAAUGCCACGACUAGGGGAAAAAGAAACUAUUGAAGAAAUAAUUGUUUAGUAUAUUUGCAGUUGGGGUAGAAGAAAGAAAUCUAGUAUAUUGAUUCAUAUACUAGUAAAUUCAUCUAGUAUAAGAACUUGUGAUGUUAGAUUGAAGUUUUGUCAUCUUAUAAAAGACAACAAACUUAUUUUCUGUUUAAGUCUGAGUGUUAUGGCAAUUUUUAGUUGAUUACUUAUUUUUCUUAGCCAAAUUUUAAUUUUCUUCAUAUUGCAUUGCUCUUUAGUUGUCUCUGGAAAUUCUAUUUACUUUAAGGACAUGAGAAAUUCAAAUGAGAGAAGUUGCUGAUAUUCAUCAGUGUGUUUGGACAGUUCAUAGGGUCCACAAAUCAAAUGAGGUUGUUUCCUGAAGUAGAAGAAAACAGAACUUUGCAAUUGAUACUGAAGUACUUUGCCAUGGAGUUAGUAACUCCUGAGCAGACCAUUUUAGAUGGCUCAGCAUUUGGCAGGAAGACUUCUCCAUUCCCUGCUUAUAUCUAUGGAAGGAUCAGCUGUUGGAUGUCUAGAACUUCUCUAUUUAAAAAAAAAGAGUAGGUCUAAAAUUAAAUUAUUAUAAGCAAGCAUAGACAUGGGUCUUCCAGUUGAAUUGUCCAUUACCGUAAAACUUAAUGGUGGACAAGUUAGCUGUGGUUGAUUCCUGUGUGGCAGUAAAUUGUCUUCUGUCUGCUUACUCCAAAUAAUAAAAGCUGCUAGGAAGUUUAGAUUUUGAAAUAGGCAGUUUAAUGCUUUGAGGGUUUCUAGAAAUACAGAAAGUCAUCAAGUAAACACUGCAUGUCUAAUCAUCUCAGAGUUGUGGCUGUUAUCUCUUCAGGAAUUGGUCCACAGGGUAAAUUUCAACAAUUCAUACGUUUUCCAUUGUCAUUUCUGAGGACCUUUGAGAUGAGAGAAAGGAAAUCUAGUGGAACAGGAAAGAGAGUUACACCUUGUGGGUGUGAGUUUGGGACCUGUUGGCAGAAGGGAAUGUCACUCCCUGGAAACAGGUUCAGCAUGUUUGCACUUGUUAUUUUGUAGCUUUAAUGAUUUUUGUUUUCUAAUAGGGCAAAUGUCUCUAAGCUUGGUGUUUAGAGCUGCUUCAUAUUUUAAACUAGUUCCAUUCCACAGUUCUAGUUCAAACCAGUUUUUACAGCCUCCUGGGUGGGUCGUCUUGACCCAAACUCUUGUGUUGUUACAUUUUGAGAGGUUUUCAUACCAGAAUGUACCAAAAAGUGCACAAGGUAAAGGUAAUUUACAGCCAGAAACAAAUAUACAUUUGUUUCAUUUCUUGACUUUCCCUAAGCAGAUAAGCAGAAACUUGUUUAACUCAUUACUUUGUUUGAUGUGUCUUACAUAUUUUUGACUAAAAGUUAUAGAAUGUUAUUCCUCUGGGGGAAUCUUUUACAGGUGGAGGAAUGGGGAUAGCAGUAUUGCCUCAGAUUCAAACUGGCAUCACCAUAAACCCUGUAGGCCAGGGUGGAAUGAAGUCAGCUCCUUUUUAUAGUUGAAAUACAAUUUUUUAUUCACCAUUGUCUGCACAAAUCCUUGAAAAUAAACCUUUUUUUCCCU
rnacentral:lncRNA from 1 species